UGGCGGAGUAGCUUAGCCGGUUUAAAGCAGCGGUCUCAUAAACCGCCCAUCACAGGUUCAAAUCCUGUCUCCGCAA
rnacentral:tRNA from 1 species